rnacentral:rRNA from 1 species
ACCUUGACAUGGCAGGAAUCCUGAAGAGAUUUGGGAGUGCUCGAAAGAGAACCUGCACACAGGUGCUGCAUGGCUGUCGUCAGCUCGUGUCGUGAGAUGUUGGGUUAAGUCCCGCAACGAGCGCAACCCUUGCCAUUAGUUGCUACGAAAGGGGCACUCUAAUGGGACUGCCGGUGACAAACCGGAGGAAGGUGGGGAUGACGUCAAGUCCUCAUGGCCCUUAUAGGUGGGGCUACACACGUCAUACAAUGGCCGGUACAGAGGGUAGCCAACCCGCGAGGGGGGAAGGCCAAAUCCCACAAAGCCGGUCGUAGUCCGGAUCGCAGUCUGCAACUCGACUGCGUGAAGUCGGAAUCGCUAGUAAUCGCGGGUCAGCAUGUCGCGGUGAAUACGUUCCCGGGUCUU